AAUCAACGCUGGCGGCGUGCCUCAGACAUGCAAGUCGAACGAUUAAAGCUCUCUUCGGAGAGUGUAUAGAGUGGCGCACGGGUGAGUAACACGUAAGUAAUCUACCUUUGAGUGGGGAAUAACAGUCGGAAACGACUGCUAAUACCGCAUAAUGCAGCGGCAUCGCGAGAUGACAGUUGUUAAAGGAGCAAUCCGCUUAAAGAGGAGCUUGCGGCAGAUUAGCUAGUUGGUAAGGUAAUGGCUUACCAAGGCUACGAUCUGUAUCCGGUCUAAGAGGACGGGCGGACACACUGACACUGAAUAACGGGUCAGACUCCUACGGGAGGCAGCAGUCGGGAAUUUUGGGCAAUGGGCGAAAGCCUGACCCAGCAACGCCGCGUGAAGGAUGAAGUAUUUCGGUAUGUAAACUUCGAAAGAAUAGGAAGAAUAAAUGACGGUACUAUUUAUAAGGUCCGGCUAACUACGUGCCAGCCGCCGCAGUAACAC
rnacentral:rRNA from 1 species